rnacentral:rRNA from 1 species
GAUGAACGCUGGCGGCGUGCCUAAUACAUGCAAGUCGAGCGAACAGACGAGGAGCUUGCUCCUUUGACGUUAGCGGCGGACGGGUGAGUAACACGUAGGUAACCUACCUAUAAGACUGGGAUAACUUCGGGAAACCGGAGCUAAUACCGGAUAAUAUUUCGAACCGCAUGGUUGAUAGGUAAAGGAGGGUUUUCUUUUCACUUUAGGAUGGACUGGCGCCGUAUUAGCUAGUUGGUAAGGUAACGGCUUACCAAGGCAACGAUACGUAGCCGACCUGAGAGGGUGAUCGGCCACACUGGAACUGAGACACGGUCCAGACUCCUACGGGAGGCAGCAGUAGGGAAUCUUCCGCAAUGGGCGAAAGCCUGACGGAGCAACGCCGCGUGAGUGAUGAAGGUCUUCGGAUCGUAAAACUCUGUUAUUAGGGAAGAACAAACGUGUAAGUAACUGUGCACGUCUUGACGGUACCUAAUCAGAAAGCCACGGCUAACUACGUG